AUUGAACGCUGGCGGUAUGCUUUACACAUGCAAGUCGAACGGCAGCAUAGGUGCUUGCACCUGAUGGCGAGUGGCGAACGGGUGAGUAAUGCAUCGGAACGUGCCCAAUCGUGGGGGAUAACGCAGCGAAAGCUGUGCUAAUACCGCAUACGAUCUACGGAUGAAAGCGGGGGACCUUCGGGCCUCGCGCGAAUGGAGCGGCCGAUGUUAGAUUAGGUAGUUGGUGAGGUAAAGGCUCACCAAGCCGACGAUCUAUAGCUGGUCUGAGAGGACGACCAGCCACACUGGAACUGAGACACGGUCCAGACUCCUACGGGAGGCAGCAGUGGGGAAUAUUGGACAAUGGAUGGAAAUACUGAUCCAGCCAUGCCGCGUGCAGGAAGACGGUCCUAUGGAUUGUAAACUGCUUUUUUAUGGGAGCAAUAAGGAUUACGUGUAAUCCGAUGAGAGUACCAUAAGAAUAAGCACCGGCU
rnacentral:rRNA from 1 species